rnacentral:rRNA from 1 species
GACGAACCGUGCGAACGUUGUUCGGAAUCACUGGGCUUGAAGGGCGCGUAGGCGGGCGGCCAAGUCGGAGGUGAAAGCCUGCAGCUCAACUGCAGAAGUGCCCCCGAUACUGGUUGUCUCGAGGGAGGUAGGGGCGUGCGGAACUUCCGGUGGAGCGGUGAAAUGCGUAGAUAUCGGAAGGAACACCGGUGGCGAAAGCGGCGCGCUGGACCUCUUCUGACGCUGAGGCGCGAAAGCCAGGGGAGCAAACGGG